GCCCCUUGGUUUGCUAGUAAAAGGUGAUCACAACUUGUCACAUCAUGAUAAUGCAGGAGAUGCUGUGGAGUCUCUGGAUGCUGAUUUGAAUUAAUUUCUGAAACCAAGAUUUAAUCAUGAAUGAGAGUUUUUCUGUGACAAUCAAGCACUUAAAGUCAGCAUCACGUUUGCAUUAGCGCCUUAUUUAAGCACUGGAGCUAGCAAGCUAAGAUACAAAAAUCAGAAGGAAUUUAAAAAAACAGUUGAUCUUAGUAUUUUAUUAUCAGUCUUUUGAUUUAGCAAUGCUCGUUUCACUUUGAGUUUUUCAGUUGUGCAUUGUUAGGAUUACAUAUGCCAUAUGAGCAUUUGUUUAAAGAUCAAUUUUUUUUAUUGGGAGUAAAAUAAAAACUGGAAAUCUGUCUGUUAUUCUAAGGCAUUAUAACAGCUUAUUUGUACAAAGUCUAAAUUUGGGGCCAAAUUUGACUUGUGCUUUAAGGCAAUAAUAACCUCAGAACCCUGCUAAUAAAUGCUGGAGGUUUGUCAGCGCUCAAACGAGUUUGAAAACGUUUGGAUUAUUGGCCAUACUUAGUCUUUAUGCUGGUGUGGUUCAGAUUAGAAUGUAUGGGUCUGCACUGGAAUUCCCUAAAAAGCUGAAUGUUCAUUACAAGGUGUGUAAAACAGCUAUCCUUACUGUUUGUAGCCAUCCUUGCUUUCUUAACACUUUCAUAACCUAUUAAUCAUUUAUUAACCCUUUAUAAACCAUUUAUAAAUGUACCCUGAAUAAAAAAGUGUGACCAUUCAGUUUUUUCCUCGAGUUGAAUAUUAAAGGCAAGUCCAAGGUCAAGAUGAGCAUAGGGAGGCUUUAGGGAGCUGGUAUAGUUUAUAUUUUGGUCAGUCAGCUGAGGAACCACGUGGAACUAAAAUUAGUAAAGUGUGUGCAGCGAAGAAAGUUCACACGGUGUAAUACGCUGUGGGCAGUAUUAGCGUUGAUUUACCCAAUCUGUUAAUGGUGUGGGCUGUCCAGACCUUUGGAACAUUCCUUAGCUCCUUAUUUAAUGUAGGAGGAAUCAUUUCUGAAAUUAGCAUAUAAAUUGUCCGGAGUCAGCAGCCCUUUAAAACACUGUUCUACCCUUGUGUCAUGGCAUAAUCGCUGUUCUAAAAAUCCCCAGUCAGGCACGCUAUUGUGAAGAAGCUCUCAGCUUUAGGUUGCGUACUGAGAAAAGGGCAUAAAGCUGAGAAAAUUCAUUAAGUUUAAAACGGGGGAAAUGGUCAGAAUUUGGUUUGGUGAGUUGUAUUUAUUUAGUGAUGUUAAUAAGAGAAAGUGUAUUAUGAUAGGGAAACAUCUGGCAGGGUCUAUUCGUAUCCAAGGCUUACACGUAUGUAAUUGAAACUGGAGGGUUUUCUCAUUCUGACAUUGUAUGUGUUGUCUUCCCAUAACGUAAAUACGCCGUGCCCUAUGUUGUGUUCAUCGAGGGCUCACCCCACCUGAGCCUUGCAUACGAACGAGUCCGCUCCUGGUACCGAGCAGCAGGCUGCUGCAGGGAGGAGGUGCGAGGAACCUGUCGGAGGCAAACCCUCUUCCCCAGCUCCUGUUUUUGCUGGCUCUUCGAGGUGCUGUGCUUGUUCGCAGCUCAGUUGCCAAGAGUAACAUGCAGCGCCCUGAUCUUGCUUAUCGUUUGCAGAGAAAGAUAAUGGAGCGCGUUUUCUGCUUGUGAAUCGUGCAGGAAUCAGGAACUCGCUUCUUAAAAAGAGCAUAUUUGUGUAUGGAGGCAGAAAAUAAAUGAGGACACAGCGUGGUAGGUUCAUUUGGCAUGGAUCUGAGAUGACCACACUGAGCAGUGAAGCCAAUAAAAUCUUUGUACUACAAAAUCAUGUGUUCGGAACAUGCCAUGUACUUACAGAAAAACUAUUCCAGGAAUGUUGUUAGAGACUUUUAUAUGUUUAUUUGGUACUUAUUUUUCGUCUCCCUUGCUCCAAGAGCCAGGUGCUUUAAUCACAACAAAAUCAACUGCCCAGGUCACAGAGAAAUAGGGCUGGGAAAUAAUGUAGUUCCAGAAGCUCUUAAAAAUCGUCUAAAAUAGCAGUUUUUUUACGUAACUAAGUAACAAUUUUAAGUUGGGAUAUUUCCUUACUUCCUAAGGGUUAAAUACUGAAUUUGUUAGUGAAAAUGCUUUAUUGAAAAGCUUUUUCCAUUCCAGAAAGGGUUGGCUUGUGGCCAGGAAAGUCUCCAACAUACUGGAUCUUUAAUUGGUCCUGGUCUCCCAGUGUCUACCCCUAUGUCACCCCAGUCUUCUGGGGAUGGCAAGUGUUUCGGAAGAGGGGGGAAAGAGCUUUUAUUGCAAUAAAUAGUGAAGGAGAAGUGUUGGAGAAAGAAAGAAAAAUCCAAGGUCCCUUGAAACUAAAUAAGUUGCUUAACUGACGUUAAAGUAAGGUAUGAGAAGAGUUUCUUUGUGAACUCUUUCUCCCAUCUUCUAUUCAGUACCUUUAAAAUUCUUUUGUAUAUGGGCAGCCCCAGUGAACUUCUGGUUGCAAAGUCCUGUUUGAGCUUAUAUUACUUUAUAUAUGUGAGGAUCUCGAAACUCUUAGGGGUGUGGUUUUUUUUUUUUGUGUGUGUGAUUUUUUCUCUAUUUUUUUAAAGGCUCACAACUCCGAUGGCUAAACAUAGGAGAGCUGAUAGGUAGAGGAUUACGUGCGGUGAGCAGGUGUUGUGUUCUGCCUUAGUGCUCUGCCUGGCACAGCGAGGCCUUGGCUGGGCUCUGUGGGCCACAAGCUCGACGCUAAACAAAAAUCGCAAUAGCAACGUGACAGUCUUCUCGCCAGAGCGAGCGAUAGCAGUUAUUUUGUGACUGUGAACUUAGCAACUGAAGAACUGCAUUUAUUUCACAGGCUGCACAGAGUGUCUGAUCCAAAGAUAACCAUGUGCAAAAGUGUCAGAAUGUUCUGGAUGAAUCAGAGCAGGCUGGUGUUCAUGCAAACGUGAGCUUGACUGCCGUGCCUUUGGACAGGCACAGAUUUAGCGAGGUGCUAUGAAAAGUCUCAACACGCCUCUCUGCACACCUACCACACCUCUGCCGGAGCACUCCUGGGCCUCGCUGGAGCGCUGCAUCUGCCAAAUUUGUGGUGGGUUUUACCUCUCAUCCUUUGGUGACCCCAGCUGUCUCCAAGGUCCUGGAGACUCCUGUGAGACCGGUGCCCUGGCUGAGUUUCGUGGUUUGGCUCACAUGGCUCUUGGCACAAGUGAUGACGUGAGACCUCCUGUGCAGUCAGCCACCCCUGCUUCAUCUGUACUUGAAAGUCUCAUCUGUCCUGUGAGCCUUAAUGGAGUUUCUUCGCUUACAGUUUUAAUAACUGCACCGUUUGGAGGAAAUACGAGUUGUUUACCCUGACACCUACCAGCUAAAAGUGUAAUAGCAAGUUUAGCCCCAGCACACCUUCUUAUUUUUGUCAAAUAGUCUGCAGUAGGCUGGACGCAGUUAUUUUUUGAUGUGAAUAUCUUCUAUUUACUGAAGCAGUUCAGCUUCACCAUACUUGGAAGAAAACUUGUCCAGUUCCACGGCAUGAAAAGCAGUUUAUUUUGAAGUGUUUCUCAAGCACUUGAUGUCCUUCAAUGUCCUUUAAAAAUCAAUAUGUUGUACAUCAUAUUUUUCUUUGAGUAAAAUCAUGGUAGCUCAGGAUUUAUCCAUAACACUGAUACAGGAGAAGGAAAUAUUUUGUCUUCUGAAUUACAAAGGAAGGAAGGUCCUUCUGUCACUUCAAAGAGUCUGAAAUGAAAGCAAAUAGAACAAGAAGACUUUCUCAAAACCAAGCAUCCAAUCUCAGCUCCCUGCUUCAAGAGGCAAGCACAGCCUUUGUGUUGACCCAGAGCUGCAGUGCAGGCUUAGUAUUUUUUUUCUGUUAAUGGUUACUGCUAGAAGAGUACUUGUUUGUGGCGGUAGGGUGAGCAGAGUUUGAGAACAGCUGAUCCGUUCCCUGUUCCAAAUUGGAAAAGGACUUGCCUUGCUUUUUCUAAUGUACAUGUGUAUCUGAAUCCAUAUAUAGGAGCAGGAUGUUCUAUUGCUCUGUUAUUAAGGAGCAAUGUCAACAUUUCUCUAGCUCCUUCUGCAUCUGCCUUAAGCAAAUUUCAGACACCAGCAACAUUCUAUUAGAAUUUUUUUUCCCGAGCUGCUGAUAAUAUGCUUACGCUGUAAUUCCAUUUUAAAAUAGUCUUUUAGUCUAGGAAUUUCCUCGUCUGAUUUGUCUCAGACUUUCCAGAAAAAUUCUACUUUGGCAUAAAGUUUGCACCUGUGAAAGUUCAAGGAAAUCGGGUUAGCUUUUGCUAAAUGAGGAAGGGAUUCUGCCAAAAUUGGGUUUACAAUGAAAGGCUAGUUUAAAUAUGGGCAGACUAGUCUCUUUGUAAUUAUUAGGUAAUAUUAAUGUAUAAUCGGUCCCAUAAAGAAAAAAAGAAAUCUAAAUGGACUUUAUAUUGCUUAUAAAAAUGCAUUUUUGUUUCUUCUUUGGCUAGUCAGGGGAGAAUGUUCGCUAUUAACCCAUCUUGUUUAAUUUUGUGAGCCGCCACUUGUGUGCAAAUUUCCUGUACAUCUUGAACAAAAACAUGUAAAAGAUGAACAAAGAACGAGGGGGGAAAUUAUAAAUGGAUCCAUGUGACUGCCUCUUCUCCAGACAUUUUUUUUCCCUCACUUAGGAAGUUUAGAGGGAAUGCAGGACCAUGCAGUGUGUGUUAAAGCUGAUGGAAUAUCUUUCUCCCUCAGGGUAUUUCUUUAAUCAAUGUUUCUUUAUACCAUUAGGUCAUCUCUUCUUUCUUUCUUUAUUUAUUUUCUGAAGAAUCCUUGUUUUGUAUGUUUUCAUGCAUCCUGACAUUUAUUCUCAGAAUUAUGGCCUGAUCACUUCCUGUCCUUUUCCUCAAAAUUUCUCUCAUUUUAUCUAUUUUAAGUGCUGAAGCACAAAGAUAACCCCAUCAUAGUUCUCUCAUUUUCCCCAGCGGCUCCCCCCCUUGCCUCCCCGCAAUGAAAAAUGAAAGGUCUCAUGGUCUUACAGAUUUUCUUUAUGCUUAUUUUGGCCUAUUUGCAACCCAAAUACAUCAUCAUGCUAUAAGACGGCUCUCUAAGGCUCUUGGAUCAAUUAAAGGUAGCCCUAUUCAUUGCCAGUACAAACCUUUGCCUAUUAACUCUUUCAAAGGGCAUUUGUCAUCGCAAAAAGCUGUGAAUGCUGUCUGGGUUCAUUGAUUAAAAAAAGGUAUUGUUUUAAGGCUGCUGAAUAUCUUAAUUAGUUGUAAUCAGAGGGUAGCUUGUGUCUGUAAAGUGAUACAGUUACCUUUCACCUACUUGCUUUAUUCUGUGUGUUUUUAAAAGAAAAAUAUCUCAAAUGUAAUUUAAGCAGAGUGUUUUGAGGGUACAAGAGGAGUGCACUUGCUGAUCAAAGUAUAAUUUAUGACGUUAUUUUAUAAAGCCAAAUAUUUAAUGUGCUAACUCAGAAUACGUCUCAUUGGCUCACAACCAGCCUUGAGAGGGUAAGUGGAGCAGCGCUGCUCAUUGCCAGCUAUCAUCCUCCUUUCUUCGCUCACAAAUCCAAUGUCUGUAUUCUGGAAAAUUAGAAAUCCACCUCAAUUCUGUAAGCACUCGCACGUGUGCUUCGCUAGAGCACAUGAAUAGUCUGCUAGUACAGAAUAUGUGCCGCGCUGUUUGCCAGACCAAGGUAGAACUGGGUAACUCUUCUUUUUCAGAUCAAUAGUUCAUUUGCCACAAGUUUGUGCUGUCAAACUUGCUGCAGCUAUUUGUGAAUUUGUACUGAAACUGUGAAAUUGUUUAAGCUGGGAAAACAUCUUUUCUGUUGGUCCUUGAAUCAAAACAGUGGUUAAUAAUAAUCUGUUUCUUAUUCAAAGAAACCCCUCUGAAAAUUAAAAUCUACGUUUUUCCUUGGGCCUCAUGAAAAAUUAUGGUUGUACUCGAUUCUCUUUUGGUUUAUUUUUCUGAGAAAAUAGUUUGCAUUUCCCCUAAAAUAUUUCACUCAAAUCAAGUGGUUAUUUAUGUGCCUCUAAUGGAGGCAUUGGGGUGUAAACGGAUCCCUUGCAGUCAUGUGUCUCAACGAUGCAUCAGUAGCUUGCAUAAUCUAACCCUCACCCUCUGGAGAUGCAUUUCUAGAGAUGAUGAUUUAGGGAUAUAUGCUUUUCUUUCCAUAUUUGAGUAAAUAUCUUAGACCAAAAAAAAAAGAAAACACAACAGAAAAUCUUAAAUUGCGGUUGGUAGAAAUGCUUGCUUUUGCUCUUGGAGGCUGGAUAGAAUAACAGCAGUAAAUGACAUUUUAUUUGUUUCGUCUUUGGAAGGGGAGGAGGGCACAAAUGGUGUCUUAAUGGGGAGACCCCCUUAUCUGGGAGAAAACAUCUUUAGAAAGUAGCUCACACACUGACCAGGUGCAUUUUGUUGCUGAUGCAGUUUGGUGAGCUGGAAAGCAGGGCAGUGCCAUGUGUAGGAGCCACCAGAAACGUGAAUCCUUAGCACCUGCCAUCAACUUGUGGAUUGCUUGAUGAAUUUUAUUAUGAGAAAUCCAUGCAUGCUCGCACAGGGAUUCUCAAGGUAACGUGGCAGACUUAUGUAGAUGCUAACAGUACUGUAUCCACUUUCUUAUUUUUCAGUGGAUAAGUAUGCUAAAUAACACUUUCCUCACAGGACAGUUUUGCUAUAGAUGCUUGGAUUCAUAUUGUGAGUACCUUAUCUUCUUUUAAUUUUUUGUAACAAAAAAUCUUCAAAAAGACUAGUUCUGUCUUCAGUCGACUGUAAUCAUCCCUAUUUCAUAGAUGGGGAAAAACAGCCUGAUAAAGAUUAAAAUCCUAAUUCAAGAAAAUGCGAAAACUUUUGGACGCCUUUUAAUGUUCUGUGAUUUUGGAGUAAGCUGUUCUGAAAAGUUUCUGUGGGAUGUAGUAAGAGGCAAAAAUAGAAUAUGCAUUUGAGUUGCAGACAGUGCCUCAGCCCCAGUAUUCCUUGCUGCAAUAUGUGGGCUUCAGAAUUUUUCUUUAGUCUUAAUGAUAAAUGUGAGGCAUGGCGUGGUUGUACAGCAGAGGGAUUUAUUUUAGUAUUUGGUUAUUGAAUUCAGUGAUUUAUCUCCACACCAAAAUUAAUUUUAGUGUUGUAGUAUAUCAGUGUAGGUCUAACCUUUUCCUUCAGCUUUGUACAUUUUCACUGCAUCGCGUAGUGCAUCUUCUUUGGUCAGAUGCCUUAGCAAUAAAUUUGAAGAAAUAAAAUCACGCAUUUCUACUGUAACUGUGGUGUGCAUAUGAAUUCCGAUAUAAUGGCAUUGUGUGUCUUGCUCUAUACAACAUUUUUAGUUUUUUUGUAAAAGUAGGAGAUGAUUUAUGAAGUGUGACUCAUUUUUCCUUCUCCACACUGUUCCAGUGGAAGAGCUCAGACUGCGAUGAGAAAAACUAGUACACGUUAUUAAGAAUUCUGAUAAAGUAGGCUGAAUAAAUUUGUUUUCUUUGUGAGCCUUAAUCCUGUGUUGUAUUGGCUUCUUGGACAUGGCUAAUUUAUUUGGAAUUCCAUUCUGUUCCCGACAGCAUUCCUGAUUAGCAGUUUGAUCACCCGGAGCAAAGUUACAUACCAGCUUUCAACUCUUGUAAUCUAGCAGUGUAAUUUUUUCAAAUGGACUCUUUUCUUUCCUCCUU